rnacentral:rRNA from 1 species
AGUGAACGCUGGCGGCGUGCUUAACACAUGCAAGUCGAACGAGAACGGAUUAUAGCUUGCUAUAAUUGUCAGCUAAGUGGCGCACGGGUGAGUAAUGUAUAGGUAAUAUGCCUCUUACUAAGGGAUAACAAAUGGAAACGUUUGCUAAUACCUUAUACUCCUUAUUAACCUAAGUUAAUAAGGGAAAGAUUUAUUGGUAAGAGAUUGGCCCGUAUUGUAUCAGUUAGCUGGUGGGGUAAUGGCUUACCAAGACUAUGACACAUAACUGGUUUGAGAGGAUGAUCAGUCACACUGGAACUGAGACACGGUCCAGACUCCUACGGGAGGCAGCAGUGGGGAAUAUUGCACAAUGGACGAAAGUCUGAUGCAGCAACGCCGCGUGGAGGAUGACACAUUUCGGUGCGUAAACUCCUUUUAUAUGAGAAGAUAAUGACGGUAUUAUAUGAAUAAGCACCGGCUAACUCCGUGCCAGCCGCCGCAGUAA